AGUUCGCUUCGCUCGUGUGGAACGGCAUCCUUUUUUGCUGUACCGAUAAUUCACCGAACAUGACAGCAAAAAAGAUACAGUGGAUAGCGGGAUCAAGC
rnacentral:sRNA from 1 species